UAGGUACUCCCUCCGUCUGAAAAUACUUGUCAUCAAAAUAGAUAAAAAGAGAUGUAUCUAUAACCAAAAUAUGUCUAGAUACAUCCUCUUUUAUCCAUUUUGAUGACAAGUAUUUCCGGACGGAGGGAGUACCUG
rfam:Triticum aestivum genome assembly, contig: Triticum_aestivum_CS42_TGACv1_scaffold_406235_5BL